UUUUUUUUUUUUUUUCUUAUAAGGCCACACUUGUGGCAUAUGGAAGUUCCCAAGCUAGGGGUUGAAUUGGAGCUACAGCUGCUAGCCUAUACCACAGCCACAGCAACUCCAGAUCCAAACCGCAUCUGCAAACUAUACCAGAGCUCACAGCAAUGCCGGAUCCUUAACCCACUGAGGGAGGCCAGGAAUUGAACUUACAUCCUCAUGGAUACUAGUCAAGUUCGUUAACCCACUGAGCCACAAUGGGAACUCGCAGGAAAUUUUUGUUUCCUUCAGUUCCUAGACAGCUUUAUACUACAAACUGGGUCACAGCUUAUUCCUGAACCAUCCCCUACCUAGGGAAUGUCAUGAAUUUAUUGGCUUAGACUUGCCCUCCUAUAAAUUUAUGAGAGAGGCAGAGGGAAUCGGAUUACACGAAUCAAUUAAGAUUAACCAGGCCCACUUAUGAAGCUGAAAUACAAGGGCACUCUGCAAUGGGGUAAAAGGGGAAUGUAUGUUGAAUGACUGCUGACUCCCCCUGCGGAUGUUUAGCAUUCACACAUCACUUCCACCCCAGGCAGGGCAACAGAAUGACCUCAUCAUAUUUAUUUAAAACAGUAACAGUGUUAACUUUAUGAUGACCAUGGAAAAAAUGACAAUAGGGUACUAGGAUUUUAUUUCCUUUCUGUAGAACUUUUGCUUUACCUGUAAAUUUUUAGUUGCUUUAAAAAAAUUCCUAAAAAACUUACUUUCCACAUACCCUUAACUUUUCCAAAUGUCUCAUCAUAGCAGUUUUCCAGGGGGCAUACCUUCUAGUAGGGGAGAAAGCAAUAGACAAGUAAGACAAGUGACAAAGUAAAUUUUUUUUUGAAGUGAUUUUGAAUCACAUCAUUACUAGGAAAAAAUAAACAAAGUAACUAGCAAAAUCACUAAGGAAGCCCUCUUUAGAGAAUGCUGUUUAGAAGGCCUCUCUAAGGAAGUGACAUCUGGCCUGGGACCUAAUGGAUGACGAAUAGCCUGCAUGAGAAGAGCUGAAAGAAGCAUUCCAGGCCUAGAAACAGCCAGACCAAAAGCCUGUGAGCAGAAAAGAAUUUGGCAGGCACAAGGAUAGAAAAGGAGGCCAAGUGGCUGGAACAUAAUGAGUAGAGGGGAGAAUGAUGGGGAUAAGACUUUGGAGAGCUAGCUUCAAGUGAGAUCAUGCAGGCUCUUGGAGGACCUGCAUGAUGGAAAGGAGGCUGGCUUUUUCUAAAAGGAUGUUCCAACAGUAGAGCAGUAUGAUCUGUUUUAUGUUUUUAAAGACCCCUCUUGGUUUCUGUGUUGAAAGUGGAUGGAGGAUGGGGGAAGGGGGGUGGUAAGGAAGAAGUGGAAGUAUAAAAAACAGGCAGGUUCUUAUUGCCACUUUCCUUCUCACAGCAAUUCUACUGGAUUGUGCUUUUUGUCCCCUAAAGGUAGUUUUUAAAAAAGAGGUUUGAGGAGUUCCCCCUGUGGCUUAGUGGGUUAAGAACCCAACAUAGUGUCCAUGAGGAUGAGGGUUUGAGCCCAGGCCUCACUCAGUGGGUUAAAGAUCCAGUAUUGAUGUAAGCUGCGGGAUAGGUCACAGAUGCGGCUCAGAUUCACCAUUGCUGUGGCUGUGGCAGAGGCCAGCAACUGUGGCUCUGAUUUGACCCCUAGCCUGGGAACUUCUACAUGCCACAGGUGCAGCGUAAAAAGGAAAAGGAAAAAAAAUGUUUGAACAGUUUGAAAGUGUCUAAUCAGAUUUAUUAAUUUAUUGUCAUUUAAAAUCAGAUGUUAAUUUUAACUAUUAAGACCUAUAGGAAAACAAAGUACUUGCACUUAUUUUUCCUUCCCCUCAAAUAUGUUUAUUUCUCAGAGUUCUCCUCCUGGCUCAGCGGUUAAGGAACCUGACUAGGAUCCAUAAGGAUGUGGGUUUGAUCCCUGGCCUCACUCAGUGGGUUAAGGAUCUGGCGUUGCUGUGAGCUGUGGUGUAGGUCGCAGACAUGGCUCAGAUCCCUGAUUGCUGUGGCUGUGGCAUAGGCCGGCAAUUGCAGUUCUGAUUUGAUCCCUAGCCUGGGAACCUCCACAUACUGCGGUUGCGGCCCUGAAAAAAAAAAAAAAAUACAUAUAUGUGUAUGUUUUGGAAGUUUUGCUAGUGAUACCUGUAAAUAAAGAGUUUCAUGUAAUUUCUAUUUACAUUGCUCUAACUAAAGUGAUAUUAACUGGGCAGAUGAAAAAACAGGUCACCCAAAGUAAUAAAUAAUACUAAGAAACCAUAAAAUCAAAUUGUUUUCUUCUUUCUUUCUUUCUUUCUUUCUUUCUUCUUUCUUUCUUUCUUUCUUUUCUUCUUUCUUUUUCUUUCUUUCUUUCUUUCUUUCUCUCUCUCUCUCUCUCUCUCUCUUUCUUUCUUUCUUUCCUUCUUUCUUUCUUUCGUCUUUUGCCAUUUCUUGGGCUGCUCCUGCGGCAUAUGGAGGUUCUUGCCACAGCAGACUCCCCUUCACUCUUCCAGUUGCAGCUCAAAGCCUUCUCUGACCAGCCCACCGCCCUUUCCAUCAAAGUAUGUCUCUCUUAUCCUCUCUCUGACAUUACCCUAUCUUUCCUUUAUAGAAACCAUCCCAAUUUAUAUUUAUUUCCUUAUUCAUCUGUCUCUUCUUCCCCUCCCACAAAUAAGAAUGUCAAUUUCAAGUAAGAAAAACCUUUGUCCAUCUUAACACUACUUUCCCUGAAUCUAGCCCUAGGCCUACAAGAAAUACUUGAAUUCUACAAUCUGGGAACUAAAUAUAAAUUUAACUAGCACACUAAAGUAUAUACAGUAUGCAGCAGGAGGGGGACAGUAAAUAAUAGUCCUUUGAAAUCUCCUAAGGCAUGUGUUAAUUGACCCACUUUCUAGUCAGUGAUCAGAAAAUUUGGUUGUGACCAAUUUGGAUUCUCUUGUUCGGAAUCCUCCAGAGCCACUUCCAACAAGGGACACCUAAAGUUCUUCAUUAGGGCAAGGUGCAGAUUCUUUUGUAUUGGAAAACAGGAGGUGUGUGAGAGGUUGAUAGUCUGUGGUCUGAAUCUGUCUUGGAGUUUUUACAGCAUGCAAUUGCUCUACUGUGAAAGACUGCCUGCUAAUUUUCUUUUAGGGAGAUUCCUUUUGUAUUUAGCUAAGACUUUAGUGGGUCUGUUUUUUCUGUAAGUUGUCAAUUCCUCUGGACUUCUGUUUCUUAGCAACAGUUGGGACUCUAUCCAUGCCCAUUGUUCUCUACUUUAGCCACAAAGCAAACGAGAGAAAAAGUAGGCAUCGCAGCUUGCAGUCUGCCAUUUAGUAAUAUUCCCAGAUACAUAGUACAUUGAUAGUGUGAAGGAUCAUCACACUUUUGUGAAGCAUAAGAGGGGAUGGGCAAAGGAAAAUGUUUUGGAGGGAGCUGAGGAAUUGAAGUUCCCUGAAAACCAUUUUUUCCUUGUAUAAAAUCCUAUUCCAGUCAUUAAAAUUUCACUUUUUAUUAUUCAAUGUCAAAACUUUAGUGUAAGAAACUGGUGGAAAAAGAUUAUGUUGCAAUUCAAUGAACCCCUUGUGUAACUUCUUGAUCUGAUGGUACAUUCUCAGACUGCAGGCAAACUGACCUGCAGUAAUUGUUAAAUUUGCCAAAUUUGGCACAAUUCACCCCAAUCUACCGUCAUCUAAGAACUUUGUUUAGAAUUCCUCUCUUUUCUAAUGUUCUUUUCAAAACUCCACACACAGAAUGCACUCAAUACUUUUAAUACCUGAUUACCAGGAACUCUAGGUCCCACCUCAAUGACUACAUUAGUCUGAAUUCUAAGACAACGGUGGAGAAAACCUGAGUAAAAGAUUCACUACUGCUAAUGGUUCCCAUCUUAGGGCAGUAGUCUUUAUUGCUUGCUAACAAACCUCGAUUUAGCCAGUUUCAUUUUCUCUGAGCUUUGUUAUUUGCAUCCCUAUUCAUAAUCAAACUAGAGCAGGACUUCUUAGUUACAAUUGGCUGACCCAUUUAAGCAAAGAUGAGAAAUUUUAUUAUAAGUAUAAAUUAUGAUAAUUCAAAGACAGGGAGCAGAUACAACCUCCUCAAGGAACUGAGAUCAGGAACUAAAAAACUAUCUGGAGCCAAGGCAGUUAUUAUAUGUCUGAUAUGUUAGCACUGCUUCAUGAAAACACAAACUGAAGUCAAACUGCCUAGGGUUUGUAUUUUAGCUGAAGGAAACAAAGAAAAAGAAAGAAAGAAAGAAAGAAAGAAAGAAAGAAAGAAAGAAAGAAAGAAAGAAAGAAAGAAAGAAAGAAGAAAAAGAUAUUUUAGCUUUAGCAUUCAUUUACUUUAGUAAAGCUUCUCAGUUUCCUUAUCUGUAAAGUAGGGUUAAUAGUACCAACCUCAUAGAGUUAUAACAUUUAGAACAGAGUGACACAGCAAGUAAUGUGAAAUUACUCUUGCAUUACAAGGUAACUCUGACUCUCCUCGUGCUGCUCCUAAACAAUGUAGCCCUGGCUUAACUUCAUGUUUCUCAGAAAAAGAUCCGCUCUUUGACAAAUCUUCUCAAUCUCAGAGUUCUGGUUGUGGCUCAGUGGAUAAAGAACCUGACAUAGUGUCUGUGAAGAUGUGGGUUUGAUCCCUGGCCUCAUUCAGUGGGUUAAAGGAUCUGGCGUUGCUGCAAGCUGUGGGGUAGGUUGCAGAUGCAGCUUGGAUUGGGCAUUGCUGUGGCACAGGCCUGCAGCUGCAGCUCGAAAUCCACUCCUACCUUGUAACUUCCAUAUGCCACAGUGCAGCUGUGAAAAGAAAAAAAAACAAAAGAGCAAAAAAACUUUCUCAUUCCCAAUUUUAAAUUCACAGAACAAUCUGAUUGGCCCAGAUAAGGUUCAGUUGUUCACCCUAACUAAAGCUAGAGUAGUGUUCCUAUGAAACAUUUUGGAAAUAUAAAUGGUGUAAAGCAGAGAAGCAAUUACGUUAGGACACAUCUUGUUAGUGGAUGAGCAAAAAAUAUGGAGACAAAGCACAGAUGCUCACAGACAUAGUUCAAAGCAUGAUGUCUUGAUGCUGAGAUGUUUAGUUCCCAGGGAAGGAGCUUGGAUGUACCAUUCUUGCUGCUCCAGGUUCAUGCCACCUGUAUAUCAGCUCACUGCAAAAGAAAUAACUGAAUGCUAUUUUCACUUUUGUCUUUUUGUUUGGUUGCACCUGAGUCAUGUGUAACUUUCUGGGCCAGGGUUUGAACCUUCGCCAUAGCAGUGACCCAAGCAGCUGCAAUGACAACUCGGGAUCUUUAACCCGCUGCACCAUAGGAGAGCUCCAUGUUGUUUUUUUGUACAAGCAAAAAUCCUCCUUGGAUUUAUUUCAUUUAGCGAAAACAGAUACUAAGGCAGUAUUUUCAUAAAUGCAAAGUGGUGUAAAGAGAACUUUGGAAAAGCAGGGGAUACCUGUACAUAUAGAGCUGCUGAGACCCAUGCCAAAUGUCUGUGGCUAUUUCUCAGUGGUGGGGAAUCAAGAAUCAAGGCUAAAUUUUUAAAAAUAUUAAAAUAUUUUUAUACUUUUUCCAAUUCUCUGAUCUUCUGUUCUUCCACAGUCACAAAAAGUGCCAAUAUAAAUAAUUGACCAAAGUCAUAUAGCUAAUAAAGAAUAAAACUGUGGUUCAAAACUAGGUCUGACUCCAAAUCCAAAAUUUACUUUCAUUGACCAACACACUAGAGUUGUUUAUUUCUAUCGAGAAUGUAUUAGGCAGCCGAUCCUGCAUUUAGCCAAGUAUUUAAGAUACAAGACUUCAAAUGGUUCAAAAUUAGGUUUCCUGAUUUUUUUUCAUAAUUUUCAUUUUUUAAAAAUGGAGGUACAGGAGCUUGUGUUGUAGCGCAGAGAAAACGAAUCUGACUAGGAAACAUGAGGUUGCAGGUUCAAUCCCUGGCCUCACUCAGUGGGUUAAGGAUCCAGUGCUGCUGUGAGCUGUGGUGUAGGUCAUGGAUGAGGCCCGGAUCUGGCAUUGCUGUGGCUAUGGGGUAGGCUGGCAGCUGUAGCUCUGAUUAGACCCCUAGCCUGGGAACCUCCAUAUGCCACAGAUGCGGCCCUAAGAGCAAAAAAAAAAAAAAAAAAAAAAAAAAAAAAAAAAAAAAAAAAAA
rnacentral:lncRNA from 9 species